CAGGCAGUUCAAAAUGUCUCUAUCCAGCAAAGGCGACACAUUGGAAGCUCAUCAGCUCAACUCUUGAAAUCCCAUCAUCUAACUGGCUCUUGCCAUCAUAUGCUUAUGACAGCAUUUAUUUCAUAAGAAACUGGAACCAAGGAUUUUAAAUAUUGCAAGCCAUAAUAAGCAAGUUAAAUACAUAAAAAAAAUACAUACAAAAAAAA